rnacentral:rRNA from 1 species
UACGGAAGGCAGCAGUGGGGAAUAUUGCACAAUGGGCGCAAGCCUGAUGCAGCCAUGCCGCGUGUAUGAAGAAGGCCUUCGGGUUGUAAAGUACUUUUCAGCGGGGAGGAAGGCGAUGUGGUUAAUAACCGCGUCGAUUGACGUUACCCGCAGAAGAAGCACCGGCUAACUCCGUGCCAGCAGCCGCGGUAAUACGGAGGGUGCAAGCGUUAAUCGGAAUUACUGGGCGUAAAGCGCACGCAGGCGGUCUGUUAAGUCAGAUGUGAAAUCCCCGGGCUUAACCUGGGAACUGCAUUUUGAACUGGCAGGCUUGAGUCUCGUAGAGGGGGUGAAUUCCAGGUGUAGCGGUGAAAUGCGUAGAGAUCUGGAGGAAUACCGGUGGCGAAGGCGGCCCCUGGGACGAAGACUGACGCUCAGGUGCGAAAGCGUGGGGAGCAAACGAGGAUUAGGAUACC